UACGUAGGGUGCGAGCGUUAAUCGGAAUUACUGGGCGUAAAGCGUGCGCAGGCGGGCUUUUAAGCCAGACGUGAAAUGCCCGGGCUUAACCUGGGAACUGCAUUUGUGACUGCAUGGCUAGAGUUUGGCAGAGGGGGGUAGAAUUCCACGUGUAGCAGUGAAAUGCGUAGAUAUGUGGAGGAACACCGAUGGCGAAGGCAGCCCCCUGGGUCAAGACUGACGCUCAUGCACGAAAGCGUGGGGAGCAAACAGG
rnacentral:rRNA from 1 species